rnacentral:rRNA from 1 species
CCUACGGGAGGCAGCAGUGAGGAAUAUUGGUCAAUGGUCGGGAGACUGAACCAGCCAAGCCGCGUGAGGGAGGAAGGUACAGAGUAUCGUAAACCUCUUUUGUCACGGAACAAAGACUGGGACGCGUCCCCGGAUGAGUGUACCUGAAGCAAAAGCAUCGGCUAACUCGGUGCCAGAAGCCGCGGUAAUACGGAGGAUGCGAGCGUUAUCCGGAUUUGUUGGGUUUAAGGGGUGAACGGGCGGUCUGUUAAGUCAGCGUUCAAAGCCCGGGGCCAAACCCCGUCCCGCCGUUGAAACUGGCAGGCUCGAGUUGGAGAGAAGUAGGCGGAAUGCGCGGUGUAGCGGUGAAAUGCAUAGAUAUCGCGCAGAACUCCGAUUGCGAAGGCAGCAUGCCGGCUCCACACUGACGCUGAGGCACGAAAGCGUGGGUAUCGAACAGGAUUAGAUACCCUUGUAGUC